UAUUUGAUAAGUAUACUGAGGAGAAAAAUGCUAUAUAAUACAUUUAUAUGAAUUAUCAUAAUCAUAUGAAUGAUCAUCAGUAUGAACAGCUGACUUAUUUUACCUCACUAAUACUUUCUGUUGAAUAAAUACCAAACAGAAAUAACACAGUAUUAAUCAAAAAUGUUAAUCAGACAGCAGAUUUGUUACCUUAAGAGAAAUUUUCAGAUUUACUAAAGAUAUUUCUUUUUUCUGGCCAGGAAGGGUCUUUAGUGAGCAGAUAUUUGGCAAAAUGCAGAAGAAACACAAAUACAGCUACUAAUGACAGCAAAAGAACAGCAUAUUUACACACCAACCCCCAAGUGUCUGCUUGUCAUUGUACCAGGACUUCUCGGAACAGUUCCGAUAGAUCUCCUCAAGGGAAGGCAGAGCCUACAGAAAGAGGGUCAGUACCAGAUGACAGGAUGACCAGAAGCCAUUUACCUAUCAAAGAACAAACACUAGAAGAGAUGAUGUAUACUCUACCCUUUCUGGGCUUCAUAAAUUCUGUUUUGAGAAAAGUGCAGAACCUCUUCCUGGAGCCAGUCCCUAAAGUCUUUAAAACAACAUCCAGAAAGAAGAUGGCAGGAGCCACCUCAUUUUUCAACAAUUCCUCUGACUUGGAGUGUUCAUUCAGGAUGUCAGAGAUCCCCAUUCAAUGUCCUCCACCCUUCGUGCCUUUUUAUUAGUGGCUGAAUCUUUCAACCCCCAAACUCUCUAGAAAAUCUCCUUCUGUUGAAACUUUGUCACUGUACAGAGAAUGCAGAAGACUUGCUGAGAUAAAGAAAAUUAAAUCAAUUCACAGCUCAAAAAAA